AUACAGAGGGUGCGAGCGUUAAUCGGAAUUACUGGGCGUAAAGCGCGCGUAGGCGGCUUAUUAAGUCAGAUGUGAAAUCCCCGGGCUCAACCUGGGAACUGCAUCUGAUACUGGUAAGCUAGAGUUUUGGAGAGGGAAGUAGAAUUUCAGGUGUAGCGGUGAAAUGCAUAGAGAUCUGAAGGAAUACCAGUGGCGAAGGCGACUUCCUGGCCAAAAACUGACGCUGAGGUGCGAAAGCGUGGGGAGCAAACGGGAUUAGAAACCCUAGUAGUCC
rnacentral:rRNA from 1 species